rnacentral:lncRNA from 13 species
CGUUACACAGAGAGAGCGAUUCGGCGCGCAUGCCGCCACGAUUGGUCUUCACGUAGCGGACGCCGCAACUUGUCGCUCGCUACUGGCGCCCGCAUAGCGUUGUUCUAAUAAUAUGACGCGACGCGUCGACCGCCAGCUGUCCCUCGUCCAACGCACUGGGAGAGGAGACACGUGGAGCGCUCUCCGGCGUGAACGGCGACGGCGCAUUCGACGCGCGGUUCCGUCGAUUCGCGUGGCGCGACAAGGACGCGCGAUCUAUGCCAAGCACAUUGGGACACGCCGCGUUGACGACGCGCGACAAAGAGACGUCCCAGCAAACAGACGAGUGGUUAGGAAGACGGCCCAAGGACGACCGGGUACAAAGACCCACGGAGACGAGACGCGACGCCACUCAACUCCACACUCCACUCGCAGUUCCUGCGUCCUGCGACUGCUAGCACUGCUGUCCGCGGUGGACAACUGUCACGCACAAAAUGGCUAUUCGCCGUUAGCAGCUUGGCACGAGGGCCUGGAGACGGCGCGCGCGUCCACUCCCCUCGCGCCCGACGUCGACGACGAGGAUACGCGUACGACUCCCAUCAUCCGUUCGCGUCGUCAACCGUCAGCUAUGCCGCGCGCGCGACGUCGCCACAUCGUUUUUUCCCGUCCGCUCGUCCGGACCGAAUUUCGCUUUUCGAAAUUUUCGCGCACAUACACACGCGCGCGCGUACACACACACAUACACGCGCGCGCGCGCGCAUAUGUAGCGGAUAAAGGGGCACACGGAUAAUGACUUCGCGCGCGAUCACUCAGAUGGCGCGAUGCACGCCGGUUUCGCGCUAUUUGUUUGUCAACAGACGGCAGCGAUGAUGAUAAGGAUGACGAUUACGACGACGGAUCUGCAACAACUCGAUGGCGUGAUUUGACAGCUGCUCUAUUAAUAGGCCAUUGCGAGGCGACUUCGUACUUUCUUCCGCUCCGUUUUGCUUCGCGCCGCGAAGUAUUUGAUUUGUUUGUUCCGUUAAAUCGUUGAAAGUUAAGAGAAUAAGAAUGGUUUGGAGUAACGGUAUUGCAUUUCCAUACUAUCGCUGUGUACAUACAUGUUAAAUUAAUUAAAAAUGGUCUAUUAAAAUAUACAUUUAUAAUACAUGGGAAUUUUUUUACGCCUUUUGAGCAUGCUAUAUUAAUCACAAAUUUUUUUUCUCUAUUAACCUCUCUACAUUUCUAAUUUUUUUGUAUCUUUCAAAAAAGAACUCGCAAACAUUACGCUGCAAAAUAACGAGCAUAGAGAAUAUCCUAUCCUUCAUGCGCGCGAACGUCCGAUACGUGACGUGAAUUUGCUUCUCGUUUAUAUCUUUUUCCUUUUGCCUCCCUCAAAGCUUUUCAAAGUCUCGAGUUUUGCGCAUCUCUCUGAAGAUGGCGCGAAACGCGAGGUUGGCCGCAGGAAUUGUUUGUCAACAGAAAAAUUGUUCGGUCGGGGUCGUGUCCGUUGAAACGCGGCUAACGUCGCAUCGUCGCUAAAGUGACGCAAAUGUUGCAGAGAACGGCUUGAAUUUAGGGCGUAGCCCCUGCAUGCGCGGCGCGGCGCGGCCUCGCGCGAAAAGAUGCGGCCGGCGCUGACGCACGGAAACCCGCUUCCUCACGCGCAUCGCUUGGUCACGUUCGCGAGGGUCAGCCUCGCGCGCGAGUGUCCACCUCCUCUCUAGCCGCACGCUUCUCCGAAUUCAUUUCGCGCGUUUUGAGUGGACGAGUAUUGCCUCCGGAGAAAAAGAAGAAAAGGGAGAAAAAAGAACGAGAGAGUGCGGAAGUCGCAGUUGAAGACAACUUCACAGCAAUGAUUUGUACGAUUCGUGAGGAUCACAUGAUCGGGGCGAAUAGGCUAAUAUUUGUGUAGAAAAUUUUUUAUCCUGGAAAAUACGCACGUAACACUGUUGUAUAUGAUACAUGUUAAAAAUGCUAUGUAUUUGGAGCACUAUAAAGAUUGCGGGGAGUCAAUCGAAUGUCAAAGAAGUUAUAGCGCAACUUUAGCAUAACAAGCAAGCGUAUCUUUUGCCAUUAAAGAUUGUCAUUACAUAUUGUUGCGACCUAGUUACAAAAUAGAAGUAAAAAUAAAACGGCAAUCGUGAUUAUCUUCCGAGGCAAAAAUAAAAUAGUUGCGGUCUCUCGACAAUUUUCUUUACAUUGUAAACAUUCUUUAAUGAAGUAUAUUAUUUCUGUAUUGAUAUUACAAUUAUACUACUGCGUACAUAUAAU